AAUUAGCGUCUCUAUAAUGUUAUAAUAAUAUAGUAAUCUUAAUAUAUCAACUUAUCUCUCUAUUUGUUUGAGCUGAGCACAACUUUGAAUCUUUAUUCUUUAUACUUUGUAUUCCGUCUUCUUUAAUAAUAAUAAUUAUUCCACAAUAUUCCAAUGUUCUUCAGUUUACUUGACGAGGCUUAAUUAUCUAGCCUUUUAAUUAUAUACUUCAGCCUUUGUUGGCUUAAGAAGUAUUUUAGCCUAAAUGGCUCUUCUCACUUCACUCUCCGCUCCUGACUCUCAGGUUGUGCUCAGCUUUUAUAAUAAAUUUUAGAGGAAGAAAUCUGUAACUAUGACUAAUUUCCUCUACGCAAUAUGUUUGUCAAAGCAAGUUCUAGCAGUGUUUAUCAACCACAAAACUAUGUCCUGUUUGCGUGGUUUGUGGUACUAGGCGUUUCCCGUGGUUCUUUAAUCUCUCUAAAUAUUUGCUUAUUCAUGCGAGGAAGGUUGCCUA